rnacentral:rRNA from 1 species
GCAAGUCGAGGGGCAGCAUUAGUACUUGUACUAGAUGGCGACCGGCGCACGGGUGCGUAACGCGUAUGCAACCUACCCUUUACAGGAGGAUAGCCCAGAGAAAUUUGGAUUAAUACUCCAUAGUUUGUGAAUUUCACCUGAUUUUCAUAAUAAAGUUUCGACGGUAAAGGAUGGGCAUGCGUGACAUUAGCUAGAUGGUAAGGUAACGGCUUACCAUGGCAACGAUGUCUAGGGGUUCUGAGAGGAUUAUC